CCUCUUCAUUUUCUUCUGGUUCGU
rnacentral:siRNA from 1 species